rnacentral:lncRNA from 1 species
GCAAAAUGGAGCAUUUGGAGAGCUGAAAUGAGCAAAAUGAAGAAUUUAGAGUUGCAGGAGCUCGUAGCACCCACGUUUAGCGGUCUCUACCUAGAAUGCUAGAUUCAACUAAGCGUAGCGGAAUCUUCUAGCGGUCUCUACCUAGACCGCUAGAGAAAACUCAAGAAAAAUACAAGUUAAUCGAGGGGGGCACAUCGGCCUAAUCCAGAGGCCAAGAAUCAGCCGCUAGAUUCAAUCAUCCUUAGCGGCCUCAACACUGGCCACUAGCGAUGUUCUGAAGCAACCUUGAGAGCACAUAGUAUUUCACCCUAGUGGCUGCACCAACACCGCUACAACACCACACCUAGCGGCCACUCCUAGCUGGCUCAACACUGGCAGCUAGCGUUAUUAAACCUAGAGGAUUUUAAGUUCUUAGCUUCCUAGUAUAAAUAGAACUUGUCUUUGUUAUGAAAGGAUAUCUUUUUAUAUUGUAUAACCAUAAAA